CAGCCGCCGCGGUAAUACGGAGGGUGCAAGCGUUAAUCGGAAUUACUGGGCGUAAAGCGCACGCAGGCGGUUUGUUAAGUCAGAAGUGAAAUCCCCGAGCUUAACUUGGGAACUGCAUUUGAAACUGGCAAGCUAGAGUCUUGUAGAGGGGGGUAGAAUUCCAGGUGUAGCGGUGAAAUGCGUAGAGAUCUGGAGGAAUACCGGUGGCGAAGGCGGCCCCCUGGACAAAGACUGACGCUCAGGGGCGAAAGCGUGGGGAGCAAACAGGAUUAGAUACCCCUGUAGUCCCUGUCUCUUAUAA
rnacentral:rRNA from 1 species